rnacentral:rRNA from 1 species
UACGUAGGGGGCAAGCGUUGUCCGGAAUCAUUGGGCGUAAAGAGCGUGUAGGCGGCCCGGUAAGUCCGCUGUGAAAGUCCAGGGCUCAACCCUGGGAUGCCGGUGGAUACUGUCGGGCUCGAGUCCGGAAGAGGAGUGCGGAAUUCCUGGUGUAGCGGUGAAAUGCGCAGAUAUCAGGAGGAACACCAAUGGCGAAGGCAGCACUCUGGGACGUGACUGACGCUGAGGAGCGAAAGCGUGGGGAGCGAACAGG